GGGAGAUCUGGUUAUGUGUUGACCUGACUGAACUCUGUAGGACUUCUGCUAUUAAUUCCAAGGAGAUUGCUGGUUGUUCAUGGUGAACCUUACUGAAGCUGCUGGCCCAGCACCUGAUUUCUCUUCCAUUUUUUGUUUACUCAGACCUGCUAAUGUUGAGCUGACACACACCGAGUUAUUCCUGAUUGAUACCAGACGAGGCAACAUCACUGAAGUCAAGUGAGAACAGGACACUGCUGAAGUGUGUCAAGCGGGAAAGCUAUUAUCUUGGGAAUGCAGAGAAGUUGUGGUGUAAAUCCCCUGUGAGGUUCCACAUCGCUUCUUACACCUGAGAAGAUAUACAGCUCCUCUUUCAGGCACAGGAGUAAGGUUCCACUACAAUGAAGAGGAGGGUGCUCUAAAUAAGUUCAGAAAUGCAAGCCUGCAGGUUAAUGGGGCAGAGCUGGACUCUUUAAUGUGGCCGUGUCAGGGAGAGGACAGUCUCAUUUCUGUCCUCACCAUACCUCAUCAUCCUCCCACUGCUGUUGGUACCCUAGCCCACGGUGUGGUCUGUGCUGGCCCAAAGCUAGGCCCCCUCUUUCCAGUGAAUAACUCCAGAUUUGGCUUAUCCUUCUCCAGCUUUUUUUCCCCUUUUCUUUAGUGGAGUGGCAGCUGGAGUCACAAUAACUUGGUGCCUGUGAUUCAAAUCAAAAAUGCAACUGAAAUUGCAAAAAGCUACACAAGACUGUUUUUAGCUCAACGUGGGACACCACCAGCCUGUUGAAGCUGUGAUGUCUCUGCCUGUAUGGGUGGCAGAAGUCAGGCCAUUGGGUACCAAGCACAAACAUGUCUGUUUGAGGCCCCAGCUUGCAGCCAGGUGUGCGGUGUGAUGUCUUUGCCACAUUAAUAUUCCUUGAGCAGGCCCUGGGACUGUAUCUCUUUCUUAGAUCUCUCCAGUUAAUGAAAUGGCCAAAUACAAUUGUCUGGCAAUAGAAUUGCACUUCAGCAAUACAAACAAAAAGACCCUAAUUUACGUUUGUGCCAAUACCAUUAAUGCAAAUUGGUUAUUAGCUAUUUAUGCUAAAAGCUGUAAUACAAAGCAUAAAGGUAGUUUUAUUAACUACAUUUUGCCCUGUGAAAUCCAUGCUAGAAGGCAUACUUUGCAAUCACUGAUUUUCUUUUCUCAGGCAAUAUGGCAUUUGCUCUACCUAAUUAACAUAUUUAUAAACAAAUUACUACCCCCUUUUCUGCACUUUGCAUUUUAUAACACAUCACUGCUAUGAAGUUAAUAGGACAGCCAUGUGCAAUGCUUUUGUAAUUCAAUUGCAAUGUUGGAUUGUUCUUUAUUCUAUCAUUCUCAUGUAUAUGUAGAAAGGGGUAAUUAAAGAAAAAAUGGCAUUUACAAACAAUUAUAAUGCACG
rnacentral:lncRNA from 7 species